GGACAGAAAGACCCUAUGAAGCUUUACUGUAGUUUGGAAUUGGGUUCGGGCUCUUCUUGCGCAGCCUAGGUGGGAGGCUAUGAAGAUAAACUUUUGGGCUUAUUGGAGCCAACAGUGAGAGACCACUCUAGAGGAGCUAGAAUUCUAAUGGCGUUCCUUGAAGCAGGACGCUUGACAGUUUCAGAUGGGCAGUUUGACUGGGGCGGUCACCUCCUAAAAGGUAACGGAGGUGUGCAAAGGUUCCCUCAGGCUGGACGGAAAUCAGCCGUAGAGUGUAAAGGCAGAAGGGAGCUUGACUGCAAGACCUACAAGUCGAGCAGGGGCGAAAGCCGGCCUUAGUGAUCCGACGGUUCCGAGUGGAAGGGCCGUCGCUAAACGGAUAAAAGUUACUCUAGGGAUAACAGGCUGA
rnacentral:rRNA from 1 species